rnacentral:rRNA from 1 species
AAUUAUUUAUUUAAAUUUUAUAUUUUAUAAAUAUUAUAUUAAUUUAAUUUAAAUAAAUAAUUUCGUUGGGGUGAUGAAAAAAUUUAAUUAACUUUUUUUUUUCUUUUACAUAAAUAAGUGAGUUAAUGAUCCAAUAUUAUUGAUUAUAAAAAAAAA